ACAAACUUGGUCAUUUAGAGGAAGUAAAAGUCGUAACAAGGUUUCCGUAGGUGAACCUGCGGAAGGAUCAUUACAAGAAAACUAAAGUGCUCCGGCGCUUGGCAGUUCAAUCGGGGAAACCCCUUUGCUCUGUUCAACCCUUUGUGAAAACCCCUUGUUGCCUCGGCGGCACUCCCGCCGCGCUGGCCAUCGCGCCGGCGCGGGGGAUGGUCAGUCCGCCGGUGGCACCCACCAAAACUCAUAACCAUUUUGAAGCUGUCUGAAAACAAAAAGUCGAAUGACUAUAAAACUUUCAACAACGGAUCUCUUGGUUCCCGCAUCGAUGAAGAACGCAGC
rnacentral:misc_RNA from 1 species